rnacentral:misc_RNA from 1 species
CCAGCGCGAACACCCCUUCCCCCGGCUUCUCAAUGGCUUUGGCAGCCUGCUCGUUCGUCUUUGCCCACGCGGCAUCGUCGGGCCAAUUGUCCGCGGUCAGCGUGUACAGCGCCUCGCGCACCGCGGUCAGCAGCUUCUCUUUGACUUCCGCCGCCGUUUCCGGGGCGUCGGCGAGCUUCGCCGCUUCCGUGAUCUUGGAAGCCAGCAGUUGAAACUGCGCAUACUCGACGGCGUCGCUCGCCUUCCAGCCGAACUUCUCACACGCCGCCUGAUGCUCCUUGAUGCGGGCGAUCAAAUCCUCCACCGGAUCGGCCGAGCGCGGCGGCUUGACGGGAUCCAUCGGCAUUGGUUCGGGCUUGGGCGGGCCGACCUCCGGCAUUGGCAUCGG